rnacentral:rRNA from 1 species
UGGGGAAUAUUGCACAAUGGGGGAAACCCUGAUGCAGCGACGCCGCGUGAACGAAGAAGGUAUUCGUAUCGUAAAGUUCUGUCCUAUGGGAAGAUAAUGACAGUUCCAUAGAAGAAAGCUCCGGCUAAAUACGUGCCAGCAGCCGCGGUAAUACGUAUGGAGCGAGCGUUGUCCGGAAUUAUUGGGCGUAAAGGGUACGCAGGCGGUUUAAUAAGUCGAAUGUUAAAGAUCGGGGCUCAACCCCGUAAAGCAUUGGAAACUGAUAAACUUGAGUAGUGGAGAGGAAAGUGGAAUUCCUAGUGUAGUGGUGAAAUACGUAGAUAUUAGGAGGAAUACCAGUAGCGAAGGCGACUUUCUGGACACAAACUGACGCUGAGGUACGAAAGCGUGGGGAGCAAACGGG